CUGUGGAAGGCAGCCCCUUCCCUUUGGAGCGCAGCUCCGGCUCGUGGCUGACACCCAUCCUCACCUCAGUCUCCGGGAUUUGGGGCUGCUGCUGGAAAAGAUUUUAUCCUUUGGCGGAUGCUGCGAGUACGCGCUUGCAGCGUACCUCGUAUUUCCUUGCAGGAGCAUAAAACUGAAGAGGAAGACCACCCAUCACAUCAUCUCAGCAGCUCCACUUUCUCUGCCACAACAUAAAGAGCAACACUCGUAUUUUUUUUCCCACUUCAAAUGACAGCACAGCUUUAAGCCGUGUUCCUCCAUGUUUGCCAAAGCGUUUCCAAGUCUUAGGCGUCUGGUUUUUCAAAGAGCAGGUGAAAAGCUUAGCUCCCAGUGAAAUGCAUGAAGUCUGAAAAAGAGGUCAUCUCAGAAACCUUUUAUCUAACACAUCUUUAAAGAAGCUAUUUCUCUCCAUGUCUGGCAGCACCCGUUGCCAGUCGAGACAAGAAAAGAGCACUUGUGGGAAGGGGAUGCGCUGGUUCUGCUCAGCGGAGCAUCCGGAGAGGAGGACAGAGUCUCUCAGGAAAAGCCUGAAGCCUUGCCGUAAGGACACGGGACACAUCAAAUGGUGCACAACAUACAGACAGAGCCAUGAAUCCACCUGAUCUUCACUUUCUGACUUCUUCUGAUCUAAUGAAAAUGCUAAACAAGGCAGGAUUUGCUAGGACCUUCCUGAGAGCAUCACAGACCCGAGGCGGACACCUUGGCUGGGCUGGGCCGGAGCCGACGAGCAGGGGGCGAAAACUCCCCAUUUCACGACAAACCUCUGCAGCCGCCCCAUCCAUCCUGUCAGCACAACGUUGGACUCUGCUUCGGGGAGCCCCUUCUCCAUCCUUCUUCAAAGGAAGGUGCGUUUCCUCCUUACCGGGGUUCUGCGAGAAAGAAGAGCUACACUGUAAAAAACCACUGCUAUCACUGCUAGAUAAAAACAACCGUGUUGUUUUAAAGGAAAUAAAGCACAGAACACAACUGCCAAGUGAACUCCUUGGCGGUCAGCUGGA